rnacentral:rRNA from 1 species
CUACGGGGGGCUGCAGUGAGGAAUAUUGCACAAUGGGGGGAACCCUGAUGCAGCAACGCCGCGUGGAGGAUGACACAUUUCGGUGUGUAAACUCCUUUUAUAUGUCAAGAAAAUGACGGUAGCAUAUGAAUAAGCACCGGCUAACUCCGUGCCAGCAGCCGCGGUAAUAGGAGGGUGCAAGCGUUACUCGGAAUCACUGGGCGUAAAGGACGCGUAGGCGGGUUGGAAAGUCAGGUGUGAAAUCCUACAGCUUAACUGUAGAACUGCACUUGAAACUUCUAAUCUAGAGUAUGGGAGGGGGAGAUGGAAUUAGUGGUGUAGGGGUAAAAUCCGUAGAUAUCACUAGGAAUACCUAAAGCGAAGGCGAUCUCCUGGAACAUUACUGACGCUAAGGCGUGAAAGCGUGGGGAGCAAACAGGAUUAGAUACCCCUGUAGUC